UGAUUAUUAUAUUUUAAAUGUUGUGGUAAAAGUAAAUGUAGUAGAGUAUUGUGUAUUAACAGCAGUGAAAUACGUCUCAUGUUCAUACUCAGGCUUAUACUAAAACAAAAGAGUUCAGUUUUACUGCGCUAAAGUAUUUCCUAUGAGUUAAAUAAUGUUUUUCAUCUCUGUUUCAGAAUAUACUAUGGUUAAUAAGAAGAUGGACAGAACAGCAUGAUAAAGACCCUCUGGAGAAUUCCCUCUGCUGGGCCAAGUUCCAAAAAUGUAGAGACAGACCCUCUAACCUGCUGUGGUGGAGUUUAAAGACUGACCCUCUAUGCUGUGAGAAAGGGGAAGCCCAGAGCUGGACACUGACAGACUGGAUCUUCACCAGUAGGACUGAAGAGGAGCCAGACUCACUGCACCUCUGCCUCAAAACCUCUGCCUCAGACUGAAGCUAAAGACAGAGGCUCUGAAGCUCCCACACUGCACACUAUAAGAACAACCACCCGUCUAAUUGUUCUGUGGUGGUAAACACAAGUUAAGUUUUAGUUUUAAACAGUAUGGUAUGGCUACACUCUGUCUCAUCUGUCCAGGCUUUUACUCAUAUAGCUUAUAUUUGUUUUUUGCCAUUUAAAAAAAAACAAAAACUUUGCUUAACUUGAAUUAUUUUUAGUAAAAACUGUAAAUUGUCAUUUUCAUAUUAAGAAUGAAGCAUUGGUUAACUCAAAGGGUAUAUAAGUCCUAUAACAUUAAUAAUAAUUAUUCAUGUCCUAAGAUUUCUAAUUAAUGAUUUAAAUAAAUAUUGUUUACAAUGUAAAAAAAAAAAAAGUUUCUUUUUUUCUUAACUAAUGAGAUUUAGUGAUAGGAUAUCACUGAUCCAACUUUGAAAUUGUUUAAGUUUAUGUUUUUAAAUUUAAGCCUUUAUAUCCUAGUUUUAAUACUUGCUGUAAAAGUUUUAUGUACAAUUACAAUGCAAAUGCUGCUGGUGUGUAUUUAGGUCAGUAGGAAGUGGAUCAGUAUUAAAUCUGAAGCAUAUUUAGGCUCCUAACGACACAAUAAACAGAUCCGCGGCAGAUAACCCGGUUCUGAAAGCGGAUCCAAAACGGGUCCUGGGCGGAUCCGCGAGAUA